AGUGAACGCUGGCGGUAGGCCUAACACAUGCAAGUCGAACGGCAGCACAGUAAGAGCUUGCUCUUACGGGUGGCGAGUGGCGGACGGGUGAGGAAUACAUCGGAAUCUACUUUUUCGUGGGGGAUAACGUAGGGAAACUUACGCUAAUACCGCAUACGACCUACGGGUGAAGGCAGGGGAUCUUCGGACCUUGCGCGAUUGAAUGAGCCGAUGUCGGAUUAGCUAGUUGGCGGGGUAAAGGCCCACCGAGGCGACGAUCCGUAGCUGGUCUGAGAGGAUGAUCAGCCACACUGGAACUGAGACACGGUCCAGACUCCUACGGGAGGCAGCAGUGGGGAAUAUUGGACAAUGGGCGCAAGCCUGAUCCAGCCAUACCGCGUGGGUGAAGAAGGCCUUCGGGUUGUAAAGCCCUUUUGUUGGGAAAGAAAAGCAGCAGGUUAAUACCCCGCUGUUCUGACGGUACCCAAAGAAUAAGCACCGGCUAACUUCGUG
rnacentral:rRNA from 1 species